GACGUCCCUGGUGGUCUAGUGGU
rnacentral:piRNA from 1 species